GGGAAAGGCUCUCACCAACCCUUUUUCUGGCGCUGAUGCCCAGGCUGGACUCAAACUCAUGUGUUCACGCGAUCCUCCUUUAACUAGGAUUAGAUACCCUAUUAUUAAAAACUUAAUUUAUUAAACUAAAAUAUUAAAUAAUUAAUUAUUGAAACUUAAAUAAUUUGGCGGUAUUUUAGUUCAUUUAGAGGAAUCUGUUUAAUAAUUGAUAUUCCACGAAUAAAUUUACUUAAUUUAUUAUUUUAUAUAUCGUUGUUAAAAAAAUAUUUUUAAAUAAAAAUAAUAUUUUAAAAUUUAAAUUAAAAAUUAGUUCAAAUCAAGAUGUAGAUUAUAAUUAAGAAUAUAAUGGAUUACAAUAAAAUUAUUUAAAUGAAUAUUAUUUUGUAAUAAAUAAUUAAAAGUGGAUUUAAAUGUAAUUUUAUAAAUUUUAAUAAAAUGAUUAACUCCAU
rnacentral:rRNA from 1 species